GUCUGUCUCUGAUGAUGCCCGGUCACAUGCUUUCUUUGUGAUGACCAUCGUGAUGGGUUCCGUAGAGGUGGGAGCAGCAGCUAAAGUCAAGAGCAUUUAUGUGAAGCGUUGACUUAAGAGAUGCCAAGUAACUCAGCAGAUGUCACACAGACGAUAAAUAGCAAAGAUGGAAGUCUUCAUGCCGGAGGCAAUCCUAUAAGACAGCUGAGUUCUGCAGAGCUGGUAGGAGACAGACUUGCUCAGGUGAUAGAUCCAGCCAUGAUACUGACCCUAAGAGAAUGAGACGCUCUGCAGAAGACAGAAGAUUCCUGAAACUGGGAAAGGUGCCUAGAAAUCCUGAUAAGAGUGAAGAAGGGUACCUGGAGGCACAGCAGCCAUGUUGAACCUAUGAGGUGAUGAAAAACCAUGCAACUAGAAACCAGAAUGGAAGAAAAGAAGAAGCUGGAUCCUUGACUGAAUUGUCGAUGGGGGAUAGUCCAUCAUCCCAGGGCUAAGACCACCUCCAGAUUUCUUGUUUGGUGAAACAAGUCCUGAUUGUUUACAUUCCCUCGUGUUGAGCUGUCUCUUGCUUGUAGCUGAAAGCAUUUCUAAUAGAUAUUCAGAUUAUCAGCCUUAGCUCCAAGCUAGAAUACUCUAUGGGACCUUAGCUUCUCCAUGAAUUCCUUUGCUCAUCUGUGUAAUGCUCAAUAAAUGUAAAUUGAACCCUGAAUGAGGGACAAUGACACUAUUGAAGUCAUGAUUGUCAAUCUUAUUAACGGACUAACUACUUAACAAAAAGGUUGGAACACUGCCUGACGCACAGUAAGCGGCUGGGGAAAGGGUUUGCCAAAUGGAGUGACAAGAAAACAGUCAUGUUUAUAGGCUUUCUUUUACAUCUUGAUCCAUCUUCAAGCCUCUGUGGUCUUUAAGCAGAACCUUGACCCCUUCAGUACUGGGGCUCCUGGAGCAUGACACGCCCCCUAAACUCUUGUCUCAAAACACCCACUCUAGCAGUUUCUUUUUGACAAAAAAAAAGCCUUCUUAGUGAAUGCUGGCUUGUGAAAAAGAAGGGGCUGUGAUCAUCAAAUCGUGUUAGUAGAUGACCAAAAUACCCAAAGCAAUUCAUGCAAAUAGAUUCAAGUCUCUCUGGGCAAGCCUUCCUGAAGGCUCUAGAAUUUCUGAAGCUCAUUUUUGAAAGGGUCUUUCCAUAUGGUGGCCUUUUUCUUUUUUGCACCUCCUCCCUUCUUUCUCAUCAGAGCUAAAGGGAUGCUCAGACUCUCUGUCCUUUCUGUGUAGUGAGGGACCAGGCUGCUGGGCGAGUGUGAAGGAGCGAGUGUGAUUUGGGAUAUUCUUUUCUGGUAUGGCAAUGGCCAGCCUUUAGAGAGGUCAUUUGAAGUUGGCCAACAAGUAGACAUUAUUUCAAAAUAGUUCUUGAUCAUUAAAGAACCAACCAGUAUGUCUUAAAAACAAACAAACCAAUCUUUUGGAAAGUUUCUGCUGAAUGUGUGCCCUUCCGACUCACUUCUUAUCCUUUCUGUCAGAAACACCCCAGAAAAGGGGGUCUUGCCUUUGAACCACUCUGCUACUUUAAUCUUCCUGCUUCUGUCUGACCUACCUUCCUUCUUUCAGUAGCCAGGAUCCUUUCAGAGUGAGCUCCAAAAGGUGGGGAUUCUCCAGCCACGAGUGCCCUCUGAAAUUCUAUCUUACUUAGAAUAAAAUAUCUAGAUUUAUACAGUGUCCCCUUGUAUGGGUGGUGGCUUUUUUUUUUUUUCUAUCAUUUUCCUGCUUGUUCACACCACUCUCUCCCUGGCCUUCUUAUGUCACAGAUUUCCUGAGUACACUCUGGCCUCAGUCUUUCCAUGAAGUAACUCUCCUUUCUAGAACAUUCUUGCCUGCAUAACUAUCUGCUUCUGUCCUCACUGUAUUCUGAUCUGUAUUUCUAUGUCAAUUUCCAGACAGGCAUUCUCUGCCCAUCCUCUAAAGUGUGCCCCCUGUCUUCUUUGCUGUUACCUGUAUGCCCUAAGUCUAAGUCACUGACCUUAUUGUAGACUAAAUUUGUUAGCAUUUCUUUCCAGGAUGCAAGCCUAGUGAUGAAGGAGUCAUUGUUCCAUUGUCAGAAUAGCUACAGAAUCCAGCCUGUUCUGCCCUGGAUGCUUUAUUAAGUAAUGAAGCUCAAUAAAACAAUUUGACCAA
ensembl:lincRNA